rnacentral:tRNA from 1 species
GUUUUUGUGGUUUAGUGGUUAUCACAUUAGUCUUACACACUGACGGUUCCUAGUUCGAUAUUGGGCAGCAAUA